rnacentral:rRNA from 1 species
AGAAUCAACGCUGGCGGCGUGCCUAACACAUGCAAGUCGCACGAGAAAGGGACUUCGGUCUUGAGUAAAGUGGCGCACGGGUGAGUAACACGUGACUAAUCUACCCUCGAGUGGGGAAUAACUGAGAGAAAUCUUAGCUAAUACCGCAUAACACUUACGAGUCAAAGCAGCAAUGCGCUUGGGGAGGAGGUCGCGGCCGAUUAGCUAGUUGGCGGGGUAAUGGCCCACCAAGGCGAUGAUCGGUAUCCGGCCUGAGAGGGCGCACGGACACACUGGAACUGAAACACGGUCCAGACUCCUACGGGAGGCAGCAGUGGGGAAUUUUGCGCAAUGGGGGAAACCCUGACGCAGCAACGCCGCGUGGAGGAUGAAGUAUCUUGGUACGUAAACUCCUUUCGAUGGGGAAGAUAAUGACGGUACCCAUAGAAGAAGCCCCGGCUAACUCGUGCCAGCAGCCGC